rnacentral:rRNA from 1 species
GACGAACGCUGGCGGCGUGCCUAAUACAUGCAAGUCGAACGAACCGCGACUGAGUGCUUGCACUUGGUCAAGGUGAGUGGCGAACGGGUGAGUAACACGUGGGUAACCUACCUCAUAGUGGGGGAUAACAGUCGGAAACGACUGCUAAUACCGCAUAGGACAUAGGAUCACAUGAUCCAGUGAGGAAAGGUGGCGCAAGCUAUCGCUAAGAGAUGGACCCGCGGUGCAUUAGCUAGUUGGUAGGGUAAAGGCCUACCAAGGCGAUGAUGCAUAGCCGACCUGAGAGGGUGAUCGGCCACAUUGGGACUGAGACACGGCCCAAACUCCUACGGGAGGAAGCAGUAGGGAAUCUUCCGCAAUGGACGAAAGUCUGACGGAGCAACGCCGCGUGAGUGAAGAAGGUCUUCGGAUCGUAAAGCUCUGUUGUUAGAGAAGAACAGCGCAUAGAGUACCUGCUAUGCGUGUGACGGUAUCUAACCAGAAAGCCACGGCUAACUACGUG